rnacentral:rRNA from 1 species
AUUGAACGCUGGCGGUAUGCCUUACACAUGCAAGUCGAACGGUAGAGGGGCAACCCUUGAGAGUGGCGAACGGGUGAGUAAUACAUCGGAACGUGCCCAGUCGUGGGGGAUAACGUAGCGAAAGCUACGCUAAUACCGCAUACGACCUGAGGGUGAAAGCGGGGGAUCGCAAGACCUCGCGCGAUUGGAGCGGCCGAUGGCAGAUUAGGUAGUUGGUGGGGUAAAGGCCUACCAAGCCUGCGAUCUGUAGCUGGUCUGAGAGGACGACCAGCCACACUGGGACUGAGACACGGCCCAGACUCCUACGGGAGGCAGCAGUGGGGAAUUUUGGACAAUGGGCGCAAGCCUGAUCCAGCCAUACCGCGUGCGGGAAGAAGGCCUUCGGGUUGUAAACCGCUUUUGUCAGGGAAGAAAUCUUCUGGGCUAAUACCUCGGGAGGAUGGCGGUACCUGAAGAAUAAGCACCGGCGAACUACGUGCCAGCAGCCGCCGUAACAC